AUGGGCAGCGAACUCUUUUCGCGUCGGCCAGGCUGGCGCUGCUCAUUCCUAGGAAAUCCGAAUCCAGUUCCAGGGUCUCCUUCCUUCCUGUCCGGGCCGCAACUUCUUUCUUUUUCCCUAUCCCCCUCUUUUUUCUCUUUUUUUUUUUUUUUUUUUUUCCUUUCUCCACCACCCUCUCAUCCCCAUUUUCCGCAUCCAUGCAGAGUCGCCAGCGCCGCUCAGGCGGUCCCGCAGGCAUCCCGUCCCCACGGGACGAGACAAGCGGAAAAAAACCACCUCCGCAGUGCCGAGGUGCGAAGCCCCGACAUCCCCGGAGGAGCGGUGUGCUCCGGCGACCACCGGGUGCCGGGAGAAGGGCAGAGCCGGCGAACAGGCAGGGGGCCGCCCGCUCCCCGCCCCCGGGGGUGCGGCGCUCCCCGGCCGCUCCGGCGGGGCUGGCUGCGAGGCGGCGCUGAGAAAGUUGGGGGCGGGCAGGCGGGCACCGGCAGGGCAGCGGCAGGCACCGGCAGGGCAGGCGCAGGGCGAAGCGGUUCGCACAAAACUCCCUCGCUCUCUGGCCAAAACAUACGGCGCUGCCCUGCCGGAGAGGGGGCGGAGGAAAAGGGGGGGCACAGCCACCACGGGUCCUCUCCGCAGCCCCCUCCCGCCACACAAAGGCAGAUUGCAUUGUGGAAUGUCGCUCGGUGUUGGCACAUGCUGCUGUGUUUAUUUUCUGUGGAUCCCCUGUAUGAAUAUAUGUUAAAAAAAAAAAAAAAAAGAAAAGAUAAAAAACCAAAUUUUCAGAGUUGCAGAGGCUAA
rnacentral:lncRNA from 1 species